rnacentral:rRNA from 1 species
UACGUAGGCAGCGAGCGUUGUUCGGAGUUACUGGGCGUAAAGGGUGUGUAGGCGGUUGUUUAAGUUGGUGUGAAAUCUCCCGGCUCAACUGGGAGGGUGCGCCGAAUACUGAAUGACUUGGAGUGCGGGAGAGGAGAGUGGAAUUCCUGGUGUAGCGGUGAAAUGCGUAGAUAUCAGGAGGAACACCGGUGGUGUAGACGGCUCUCUGGACCGUAACUGACGCUGAGACACGAAAGCGUGGGUAGCAAACAGG